rnacentral:misc_RNA from 1 species
GAAAUGCGCUAAGUAAUGUGAAUUGCAGAAUUCAGUGAAUCAUCGAAUCUUUGAACGCACAUUGCGCCCAUUAGUAUUCUAGUGGGCAUGCCUGUUCGAGCGUCAUUUCAACCCUUAAGCCUAGCUUAGUAUUGGGAGCUUGCUUUACUGCAACUCCUCAAAUUCAACGGCGGAUUUAUAGCAAUCUCUGAACGUAGUAAUUUUUAUCUCGUUUUUGAAAUACUAUAAACCUCAGCCGCUAAACCCCCAAAUUUUUCUAUGGUUGACCUCGGAUCAGGUAGGAAUACCCGCUGAACUUAA